GGUUCAAACGAGGAAAGGCUUACGGUGGAUACCUAGGACCCAGAGACGAAGGGGGUAGUAAGCGACGAAAUGCUUCGGGGAGUUGAAAAUAAGCAUAGAUCCGGAUUCCGAAUAGGUUAACCUUCAAACUGCUGCUGAAUCCAUGGGCAGGCAAGAGACAACCUGGCGAAUGAAACAUCUUAGUAGCCAAGGAAAAGAAAGCAAAAGCGAUUCCGUAGUAGCGCGAGCGAAAUGGGAGCCUAAACCGUGAAAACGGGGUUGUGGAGAGC
rnacentral:lncRNA from 1 species